rnacentral:rRNA from 1 species
UACGUAGGGUGCGAGCGUUAAUCGGAAUUACUGGGCGUAAAGCGUGCGCAGGCGGUGAUGUAAGACCGAUGUGAAAUCCCCGGGCUUAACCUGGGAACUGCAUUGGUGACUGCAUUGCUGGAGUAUGGCAGAGGGGGGUGGAAUUCCACGUGUAGCAGUGAAAUGCGUAGAGAUGUGGAGGAACACCGAUGGCGAAGGCAGCCCCCUGGGCCAAUACUUACGCUCAUGCACGAAAGCGUGGGGAGCAAACAGG